CCGCUUUUUUGUUCACUUUUUCCGCUACCCUUUUCCCAGGUCUUCUCGUCACCCUCUUCGUAAUGUAGUAAAAAGUCAUUCCUUUCAUCGAUUCUUCCCAAAAGGAAAAAAAAGAAAAGAUAAAAAACCCAAAUUCAAAGUCUCCCCUUUUGCCCAUUCUACUAAAAAGAAAUUAGGAUUUUUUUGUAAAACCCACCCUGUCAUAUUAAUCGAUCUACUGGAUAACUUUCUUUUCAACUCUCAAAUGGAGGGAACGGAAGAUACCAAGUCUGAGGCGCAUUUAACCUCUGCGGCAGCUUUUGUGGAAGGGGGAAUUCAGGAUGCUUGUGAUGAUGCUUGCAGUAUAUGCCUUGAAGAAUUUUGUGAAAGUGAUCCAUCGACAGUGACCAGCUGCAAGCACGAGUUUCAUCUUCAGUGCAUUCUCGAAUGGUGUCAGAGGAGUUCUCAAUGCCCCAUGUGCUGGCAGCCAAUUAGCUUGAAAGAUCCAACAAGCCAGGAGUUGCUUGAGGCAGUUGUACGUGAAAGGAAUUUUAGGUUCAAUCCCUCUAGAAAUGCAACCAUAUUUCAUCAUCCAACUCUGGGGGAUUUUGAACUACAACAUCUGCCUGUGGGGGCUAAUGAUGCUGAGCUUGAGGAGCGUAUAAUCCAGCACUUGGCUGCUGCUGCUGCAAUGGGGCGAGCACGUCACAUUGCAAGAAGGGAAGGUCUGAGGAAUAGGUCAACUGCUCAAGGUCGUCCACAGUUCUUGGUAUUUUCAGCUCAUCCUAAUGCACCCUCUAGUGGUCCUUUAUCUUCAUUGUCACCAACUCAGAGAGAAGGUCAGCCAGCCCCCGCAAUUGCUGUUGGCACUCCUUCCUCUCCUGCAACAACAGUGGGGGAAGAAUCUUCGGUAUCAAUUACUCCUGUACCUUCUGCCCGAGCUGAUCAGCAGUCUGCCUCAGCAUCUGGCUCCAGUGUUCUUUUGGUCAAUGAUCAAGGGAAUCCCUUGAACAAUAGGUCUCCUAAUCAGUCAUCUCCUAAUAGUCAAGAUAGAGCAGGACCUUCAGAAUUCCAGUCAUUUUCAGAAUCAUUAAAAGCGAGGUUUAAUGCCGUUUCGAUGAGAUACAAGGAGUCGAUUUCAAAGAGUACAAGGGGGUGGAAGGAGAGAUUUUUCUCUCGCAACACUUCCAUGGCAGAUCUUGGUUCUGAAGUUAGGAGAGAGGUUAAUGCUGGCAUUGCAACAGUCUCGCGCAUGAUGGAGCAUCUAGAAACCAGAGAUAGUGGAACGAGCACGGCUACUGUAUCAAGCAGUUUGGAAGAUAGGUCUAAUCCAGAAUCAAAUAACCACCAGAUAUCAGAUGCUGGUGGAGAAACUCCUUUGACUGAAACCAGUGCACAAGCCUCAUGUGCUGCUAGUUCUGCUUCCAAUUAAAUAACGUAAAUUUGGAUACUGACUGUACCAGACAUGAACAUUGCAAUAGCAUGCUGAUAAAAAUAUGUUUUUGAUGGAUGUGUUGCCCUCCUUUUCCAGCCAUUCUUUAUAUCCUUGGACAUCUGAAGAGAUCAGUUGGUGAUCGAGAACUGAUUCAGAAUAAAAUAUGCUGAAAAAAAAAAGUUAUAUUUGUCGUGAACAGAUUAUGUAAAUCAGUUUAUAUUCUUAACUUUAUUUAUGAAUAUAUAAUUCUAGGCGAAGUGUUGAAAAUCUUGAAGAUGGGACAAAUUCUAGCUUGAUGAGCUUUCAUGAGGAUUAUACACCUUUUAACAAGCACACACGAACAUUAUCCCUGUAAUAAUAUUGCUUCUUAGUACCUUGAUUCGGGGAGCUUUGUUCUGUUAUAACGCUGUUAAAUGCUGUUCAGAUUUUCAACACAAUAUGUGGUACUCUAUAACUUACGAAUAUAUAAAAAUCGAUAGUGAUUGGUGUCUCAAUAAACUUUAAUAAAAGAAAUAUUCCACCAUUUAGCUACAAUUUGACGAUAUACCAAAUUGAGUUUCAAGCGGAAGUAACGAGCAAUGAUGACCUGCCUAGAAUGCCGACCCUAUGUGGCAGAUGACUGCCGAGUCUCCACCAAUCGAAGGUUUUUUAUGAAAGUAAAAUUGGGAUGAUCAGAUGGCAACAGAACGUCUUGCUUCACACCUGAUGGAAAGCCUCUUGUUAAGUACUGCCAAGUUUUUGUCAGCAGGAGUAGGUUGAACGACAAGUUUAAAUGAUAGAACAAUGCCUUGAG